UAGGCAGUGAGAUGAAGGAAGAAGAGCCUUUCCUGAAAGGACGUCCACUCCCCUGUUCGCAGGUCAACCCUUUCAGAGACCGUAUCUGCAGAGUGUUCUCCCACAAAGGCGUGUUCUCCUUUGAGGAUGUGCUGGGCAUGGCAUCUGUGUUCAGCGAGCAGGCCUGCCCAAGCCUGAAGAUUGAGUACGCCUUUCGCAUCUAUGACUUUAAUGAGAAUGGCUUCAUUGAUGAGGAGGAUCUGCAGAAGAUCAUCCUGCGACUGCUGAACAGUGAUGACAUGUCUGAGGACAUGCUGAUGGACCUCACGAACCAUGUCCUGAGUGAGUCGGAUCUGGACAAUGACAACAUGCUGUCCUUCUCAGAGUUUGAACAUGCAAUGGCCAAGUCUCCGGAUUUCAUGAACUCCUUUCGGAUUCACUUCUGGGGAUGCUGAUGUAGCGGCAAAUACCUGACGUGUCAGCCUCGAGGGAGACCACCGGAAUCGAACCCCCUCCAGCACUGGAGGGAGCUGGUUUGAAAUAUGACUUUGUACUGGGCCCACCCUCACCUCUAGAAUAUUGUUUAUUAGAUAAAAGAAAAGAAAACCCUUUUCCU
rnacentral:sRNA from 1 species